AACGAACGCUGGCGGCAGGCCUAACACAUGCAAGUCGAGCGAGGACUUCGGUUCUAGCGGCGGACGGGUGAGUAACGCGUGGGAAUGUGCCCUUCUCUACGGAAUAGCCCUGGGAAACUGGGAGUAAUACCGUAUACGCCCUAUUGGGGAAAGAUUUAUCGGAGAAGGAUCAGCCCGCGUUGGAUUAGGUAGUUGGUGGGGUAAUGGCCUACCAAGCCGACGACCCAUAGCUGGUUUGAGAGGAUGAUCAGCCACACUGGGACUGAGACACGGCCCAGACUCCUACGGGAGGCAGCAGUGGGGAAUCUUAGACAAUGGGGGCAACCCUGAUCUAGCCAUGCCGCGUGAGUGAUGAAGGCCUUAGGGUUGUAAAGCUCUUUCAGCUGGGAAGAUAAUGACGGUACCAGCAGAAGAAGCCCCGGCUAACUCCGUG
rnacentral:rRNA from 1 species